GCAUAUCAAUAAGCGGAGGAAAAGAAACCAACAGGGAUUGCCUCAGUAACGGCGAGUGAAGCGGCAAGAGCUCAAAUUUGAAAGCUGGCCCCUUCGGGGUCCGCAUUGUAAUUUGCAGAGGAUGCUUCGGGAGCGGCCCCCAUCUAAGUGCCCUGGAACGGGCCGUCAUAGAGGGUGAGAAUCCCGUCUGGGAUGGGGUGCCCGCGCCCGUGUGAAGCUCCUUCGACGAGUCGAGUUGUUUGGGAAUGCAGCUCUAAAUGGGUGGUAAAUUUCAUCUAAAGCUAAAUACUGGCCGGAGACCGAUAGCGCACAAGUAGAGUGAUCGAAAGAUGAAAAGCACUUUGAAAAGAGAGUUAAACAGCACGUGAAAUUGUUGAAAGGGAAGCGCUUGCGACCAGACUCGCUCGCGGGGUUCAGCCGGCCUUCGGGCCGGUGUACUUCCCCGCGAGCGGGCCAGCGUCGGUUUGGGCGGCCGGUCAAAGGCCCUCGGAAUGUAACGCCCCCCGGGGCGUCUUAUAGCCGAGGGUGCCAUGCGGCCAGCCCGGACCGAGGAACGCGCUUCGGCUCGGACGCUGGCAUAAUGGUCGUAAGCGACCCGUCUUGAAACACGGACCAAGGAGUCUAACAUCUACGCGAGUGUUCGGGUGUCAAACCCGUGCGCGCAGUGAAAGCGAACGGAGGUGGGAACCCCUCGGGGUGCACCAUCGACCGAUCCUGAUGUCUUCGGAUGGAUUUGAGUAAGAGCGUAGCUGUUGGGACCCGAAAGAUGGUGAACUAUGCCUGAAUAGGGCGAAGCCAGAGGAAACUCUGGUGGAGGCUCGCAGCGGUUCUGACGUGCAAAUCGAUCGUCAAAUUUGGGUAUAGGGGCGAAAGACUAAUCGAACCAUCUAGUAGCUGGUCCUGCC
rnacentral:rRNA from 1 species